CCCCCCCCCCCCCCUUUUAAAAAAAAAUUUCGAAAUAUGCUUCUCUGCAAUACAAGGGAGACAACUUUGAAAAUAAAAUGAGCACAAAUUAUAAACUAAUUUGUUGGGGUGUUAUUUUUUUGUUUGUCAUUGUUAUAAUCCACUGAUAUAUUGAAAGACAUUUCCAAAUCACAGAAAAAGAUGUAUUCUUAAUUCUUGCGUUGCAAAUUUUGUAUUUAAUUGAUGCACAAUGCAUAUAACUAUUCAGUGAACUGAGCAAUUGUGUGAGAGUAUGUAUGUGUAUGUGUGUUUGGAACAUACAAAUGUGUUUGGAACAUACAAAUGUGUUUGGAACAU